rnacentral:rRNA from 1 species
GAGAUUGGAAUUCCUGGUGUAGCGGUGGAAUGCGCAGAUAUCAGGAGGAACACCGAUGGCGAAGGCAGAUCUCUGGGCCGUAACUGACGCUGAGGAGCGAAAGCAUGGGGAGCGAACAGGAUUAGAUACCCUGGUAGUCCAUGCCGUAAACGUUGGGCGCUAGAUGUAGGGACCUUUCCACGGUUUCUGUGUCGUAGCUAACGCAUUAAGCGCCCCGCCUGGGGAGUACGGCCGCAAGGCUAAAACUCAAAGGAAUUGACGGGGGCCCGCACAAGCGGCGGAGCAUGCGGAUUAAUUCGAUGCAACGCGAAGAACCUUACCAAGGCUUGACAUACACCGGAAACGGCCAGAGAUGGUCGCCCCCUUGUGGUCGGUGUACAGGUGGUGCAUGGUUGUCGUCAGCUCGUGUCGUGAGAUGUUGGGUUAAGUCCCGCAACGAGCGCAACCCUCGUUCUAUGUUGCCAGCGGGUUAUGCCGGGGACUCAUAGGAGACUGCCGGGGUCAACUCGGAGGAAGGUGGGGAUGACGUCAAAUCAUCAUGCCCCUUAUGUCUUGGGCUUCACGCAUGCUACAAUGGCCGGUACAAAGGGCUGCGAUACCGUAAGGUGGAGCGAAUCCCAAAAAGCCGGUCUCAGUUCGGAUUGAGGUCUGCAACUCGACCUCAUGAAGUCGGAGUCGCUAGUAAUCGCAGAUCAGCAACGCUGCGGUGAAUACGUUCCCGGGCCUUGUACACACCGCCCGUCAAGUCAUGAAAGUCGGUAACACCCGAAGCCGGUGGCCUAACCCUUGUGGAAGGAGCCGUCG